UACAGAGGUCCCCAAGCGUUGUUCGGAUUCACUGGGCGUAAAGGGUGCGUAGGUGGUUGGGUAAGUCUGAUGUGAAAUCUCCGGGCUCAACCCGGAAAUGGCAUUGGAUACUAUCCAGCUCGAGGAUCGGAGGGGGGGACUGGAAUUCUUGGUGUAGCAGUGAAAUGCGUAGAUAUCAAGAGGAACACCAGUGGCGAAGGCGAGUCCCUGGACGAUUCCUGACACUGAGGCACGAAAGCUAGGGGAGCAAACAGG
rnacentral:rRNA from 1 species